GGGGCUGAUUGUUGAGCUGGUGCUUGCCUGAGUCUUCAAAACUUUUGAGAGGCGCGUGCCGUCUCUGCUGGGUUCGAUUCCCAGGCAGUCCCGCCA
rnacentral:tRNA from 1 species